rnacentral:sRNA from 1 species
CCUAAAAUACGAUUUUGAUAUUGCUGUUGUAUUUAAACGUUUUCAAAAGUGACACAAAUGGAAGCUGGAAUGGCAUACUAGUUCUUCCUGCUUUUUUUCCCCUGACUAUUUUUGUUAUAGACUGAAAUAAUCCUCCAUUCCACUUUUUGGAAUGUGGAUAUAAAUAUUUUUAAAUUCAUUUGCUGACAAGGCAAAAAUAAGUAAUUCAUAUAUGUAAAACUAUUAUGAUAGGAGUGAAGUUUUUGUUAUAAUAAGCAGAUAGCUAAAAGCUUCUCUAUUUUUUCUACAAAUAUUCUUAGGUUAAUUUUAUUAAGGGAGAAACAGAAUUGUUGCAGUAUAUUACUAAAGUGAAAAUAUAGCCAUGCACAGAUUGAAAUGUAUGGUAAAAGCCUUCUUUCUAACUUCCUGUCAGGUGUCAUCUGAAGACAGAAGUGCCCUGUGGGCUUUGGUUACGUUCUAUGGGGGAGAUUGCCAGCUAAACCUCAAUAAGAAAUGCACGCAUUUGAUUGUUCCAGAGCCAAAGGGGGAGAAAUACGAAUGUGCUUUAAAGCGAGCAAGUAUUAAAAUUGUGACUCCUGACUGGGUUCUGGAUUGCGUAUCAGAGAAAACCAAAAAGGACGAAGCAUUUUAUCAUCCUCGUCUGAUUAUUUAUGAAGAGGAAGAAGAGGAAGAGGAAGAGGAGGAGGAAGUAGAAAAUGAGGAACAAGAUUCUCAGAAUGAGGGUAGUACAGAUGAGAAGUCAAGCCCUGCCAGCUCUCAAGAAGGGUCUCCUUCAGGUGACCAGCAGUUUUCACCUAAAUCCAACACUGAAAAAUCUAAAGGGGAAUUAAUGUUUGAUGAUUCUUCAGAUUCAUCACCGGAAAAACAGGAGAGAAAUUUAAACUGGACCCCGGCCGAAGUCCCACAGUUAGCUGCAGCAAAACGCAGGCUGCCUCAGGGAAAGGAGCCUGGGUUGAUUAACUUGUGUGCCAAUGUCCCACCCGUCCCAGGUAACAUUUUGCCCCCUGAGGUCCGGGGUAAUUUAAUGGCUGCUGGACAAAACCUCCAAAGUUCUGAAAGAUCAGAAAUGAUAGCUACCUGGAGUCCAGCUGUACGGACAUUGAGGAAUAUUACUAAUAAUGCUGACAUUCAGCAGAUUAACCGGCCAUCAAAUGUAGCACAUAUCUUACAGACUCUUUCAGCACCUACGAAAAAUUUAGAGCAGCAGGUGAAUCACAGCCAGCAGGGACAUACAAAUGCCAAUGCAGUGCUGUUUAGCCAAGUGAAAGUGACUCCAGAGACACACAUGCUACAGCAGCAGCAGCAGGCCCAGCAGCAGCAGCAGCAGCACCCGGUUUUACACCUUCAGCCCCAGCAGAUAAUGCAGCUCCAGCAGCAGCAGCAGCAGCAGCAGAUUUCUCAGCAACCUUACCCCCAGCAGCCACCGCAUCCAUUUUCACAGCAGCAGCAGCAGCAGCAGCAAGCCCAUCCGCAUCAGUUUUCACAGCAGCAGCUACAGUUUCCACAGCAACAGUUGCAUCCUCCACAGCAGCUGCAUCGCCCUCAGCAGCAGCUCCAGCCCUUUCAGCAGCAGCAUGCCCUGCAGCAGCAGUUCCAUCAGCUGCAGCAGCACCAGCUCCAGCAGCAGCAGCUCGCCCAGCUCCAGCAGCAGCACAGCCUGCUCCAGCAGCAGCAGCAGCAACAGCAGAUUCAGCAGCAGCAGCUCCAGCAGCAGCAGCUCCAGCGCAUGCACCAGCAGCAGCAGCAGCAGAUGCAAAGUCAGACGGCGCCACACUUGAGUCAGACGUCACAGGCGCUGCAGCAUCAGGUUCCACCUCAGCAGCAGCAGCAACAGCAGCCACCACCACCGCCUCAGCAGCAUCAGCUUUUUGGACAUGAUCCAGCAGUGGAGAUUCCAGAAGAAAGCUUCUUAUUGGGAUGUGUGUUUGCAAUUGCGGAUUAUCCAGAGCAGAUGUCUGAUAAGCAACUGCUGGCCACCUGGAAAAGGGUGAGAUUGUGCCUGGAGGAAGGAUGACUGUGUCUGAAGAUGCUUCUUUCUUAUGUAGAUGUAACUAUGUUCACUUAGCUGCAUUCACUGAGCUGCACCUACAUGUGUUCUGAAUGUGUGACGGGCAUUUUGAUUAACAUUCUCUGUGACCUGAGGCACAGCACUUUUCUGGGCAUCAGUUUUCUCAGCUGUUAGAUGAAGAUGGUGGACUUUUUAUUUUUUUCAGCUUGGAAAUUCCAAGGGGCACUAAUUAUAUGCGUAUAAUUGGGGCGAUGGAAAUAAGUUCAGGGUUUUGGUGUCCUGGGAGAGGGACCAUUAAUUUGUAUGCAUCUCAGUCAUUUCUCUUUCUCCAAAGGUAACUGUUAGAAAAUCCUGGAAUCUCUAGAACCUCAAAUUCUUCCAGCCCAAUUGUAAAACUGGAGUUAAUUUAAUUAUUUAUUAUCUUGCAUGGUGGCCUUUUUCUUGCAUUCCCCAAAAC